rnacentral:lncRNA from 1 species
GAAAAGGAUAAACGUCAACAUUCAGUGACCUGAACUUUCAAGAAAAUCUCUUUAAAAACCACUCUACGCCACCCCAUCUCAUUCGUGGUAUAUUAAGAUAUUGAUUUAUGCUUUUUCUUUCGAGAUUCAUCUUGUUGCGUGCAAAUACUGGGAAGCUGUUAACUGUCUCCGUUAUAAUAAUAAUAACACAGUAAUAUAAAGCCACAAUCAAGCUUUUUCCAUCAGAGAAAAUCGCACUUGUUCACUCACCUAAUAGUUCUGAUACUAUCCGAGAGUCUGUUUGGAUUCAGACACUCGAAAAUUCCGUGGGCUUUUUUCUUUCUUUCUUUUGGAUUGGCUGUUUUUAUCUGGAAUUAAGAGUAGGAAAAGGAUUGAAAAAGGGCAAAAAAAAAAAAGCAUUUUCCUUUUUUGUAAUUUGGCAAGUAAUAGACAGUGUGAUAGCAAGAGAGAGAUGAGUAAGAGCCUGGAAAAAAUGGCAUCAAUUGAUGUACAGUUGAGGCUAUUGGCACCCGGGAAGGUUUCAGAGGAUGAUAAAUUGGUGGAGUAUGAUGCUCUGUUAUUGGAUCGUUUUCUUGAUAUUCUUCAGGACUUGCAUGGGGAGGAAAUCAGAGAAACGGUACCGAGUUUUUAUUUUUAUUAAAUUUUCGAAUUUUGUUUAUUAUUUAAGUUUUUUAUUGUGGGUUUUGGCUAAUUUUGUGUUUUGAAUGGGAAUCCCACUUGCAAUUUGUUGAAUUAUUUUCUUAAUUUAUUCUGUGAAUAAGGAGUAAGCUUUUUCAGUGGACAUCCAUUUGAAAUAUUUUUAACCUAUUAAUGUUGCUUGUGCAUGGUUUUGUUAUCACCUUAAUGUAACUCCGACACUGUCAUAGGACUUCGUAGCUUUGUAUAACUCCAAUUUCCGCCUGACUGUAUCAUAGGGUUAAUAAUUAUGUUUUAUUGUCGCUAAUAUUUAACUUUGCAUUUUCUUUUGUCAAAUAAACAGCUUUCCGCUGCUAAUUCUUGUUUAGAGCUAUACAUAUUGUUUUAUUAGCUGAUGAUAUUUGGUUCUCUAAUACUUAACGAGUACAAAGCUCAGAACCUUGAAGUUCGCAUAAUGCUAUUAAAAACAUUCUUGAAGUUUUUAUUGAUGUCAAAGAAUGUGCAUCUGUUGGGAAUUUUACUGGUGUCAGUUUUUGUGAAACCUAUUUUGUGACUUUGAUUAUGGACAAGGUUCAAGACUGCUACGAGCUCUCUGCAGAGUAUGAAGGGUCGCGUGAUCCACAGAAACUGGAAGAGCUUGGGAAAGUCCUAACGAGUUUGGAUGCUGGGGAUUCUAUUGUGCUUGCAAAAUCUUUUUCCAACAUGCUUAAUUUAGCCAACUUGGCUGAAGAGGUUCAGAUUGCAUACAGACGUAGAAGUAAGCUAAAAAAGCGUGACUUUUCUGAUGAGGCCUCAGCAACAACUGAAUCGGAUAUUGAAGAGACACUAAAGAGGCUUGUAGGACAACUGAACAAGACUCCUGAAGAAGUUUUUGAUGCUUUGAAGAAUCAGACUGUUGAUUUAGUAUUUACAGCACAUCCUACUCAGUCUGUUCGUAGAUCUUUGCUUCAAAAGCAUGCAAGGUUUGUGAUUAAUGUUGGUUUAAUGAGAAGUAGCUUAUAUGUAUAGUUCAUUGUUUUACCUACAUGACAGGGCAUCGUGUGGCACCCGUACAUUAUUAUUCAUAUCUAGUUAAAUUUUUGGAAAAUUCUUACCUCUUCCAUUUGCAUGUUUCCAGGAUUCGAGAUUGUUUGACUCAGCUAAAUGCCAAAGACAUUACUCCUGACGAUAAGCAGGAGCUUGAUGAGGCGUUGCAAAGAGACGUAUGUUGUUUGUAUAUUAGGUCUGUCACAGCAUGUGUAACUUGUUCUUCUUAAGAGUUUUCUAUUGUGAUCUGAGUCAGAAUAAUGUCUAUUUUCUAAUUAUGCAUACUUGCACGCUGCAUUAUUUUGUUAGCCUAAAAUUAUUCUCCAACCGGAUCCGGAUCCGGAUCCGGAUCUGCUUUACUGUAACAAAUAACACAAAAAAGUGAUUAAUGGUACCCCUGUAGGUUCUAUACAUCAGUAAGUUUAACAUACUGCCAAGUCUGACUUCCAUGUUUGUGCCCCAUCAAAGCUGAGAAAUUUGAUCACCUCCCAUCGAAACAUACAUGCUCACACAUCUAUGUCGCUCCCUCUUAUAACCCAUUCUUAAGUGUAAAGCAUUUGCAUUAACAUAAGCAUUACCAUGCAUUGGUUUUGUGACCUUCCAACUGGUCCAUGAGUUUUAGAAGUGCUAAAAAGUCCAAAUUUCCUAAAAUGCUCCUUAAUGGGGUGUGUAGAUGAGAAUAAAUGAAUCCUCAGUUUAUGGUGUAAUGUCUAAGAAGUGAGCUACUUAGGUCAUCUCAUCACUGAAGUUAUUAAAUAAUUGAAUAACUCAACUUUUGGAGAAUAUCAGUCCCAUUUUUGACUGAUUAUCAUAAUGCAGUCAUCUAGGAAGCAUUGAUACGGACACGAGUGUCAGACUGACGAUGUAUCUUUUAGCGUGUUGGUAAUGCGUUCAAGUACAAAACCAAAAAAAUAAUUUGAACACACCACUUCACAUUUUCAGCAUGUGUCAGUGUUGGACACGAUGUAUCUCUAGUGCGUCGGUAACGCAUCCAAUUAUACGAAACUAAAAAAGGAUUAGGGCAUACCACUUCACAUUUUCAUUAUGUGUCAGCAACGUGUCGGAGUCUGAUAUGACUUGCCGGUGUUGGGAGAGUGUCGGUGCAUCCCAUGACUUGCCGGUGCUCGUAGAGUGCCAGUGAGUCCUAGGGAUUCGUUAAUUAAAACUUGAUACUAACAAAAUCAAUGCCAAUCUCUCCAAACUUCAAUUUCUUCACAUUUAUCUUUUAAUCCUUUGUCCAUGCAUGUAGAUACAAGCUGCUUUUCGCACUGAUGAAAUUAGGAGGAAUCCUCCUACUCCUCAAGAUGAGAUGAGGGCAGGAAUGAGUUACUUCCAUGAAACGAUUUGGAAGGGGGUGCCAAAAUUCUUACGACGCGUUGACACUGCUUUGAAAAACAUUGGAAUAAAUUAGCGUGUUCCCUAUAAUGCUCCUCUUAUCCAAUUCUCUUCUUGGAUGGGUGGGGAUCGUGAUGGUAUUGUUUUCUAAUUUCUUAUUUUGCCGGAGUAAUUAUCACUUUUCUUUAUUUGCAUGAUAUUUUCUUUGAGAAGCAGGGCAUAUUCUAAGAUCUGCUUUAAUAAAAAAUCGAUGAACAGACAAGGCUGCCCCAACUGUGGUUUUUCAUUUAUUUUAUUUUAUUUUUGUUAGGCUGUCUCACAUAAACUUUAUCAAGUGCUUCAUUCCACAAAUAUCCAUAUAUAAAUGGGAACUUUUCAAAGUAUGCAUCCAAAUUAUAAAAUGUAAAUGUCUGGAAUGGUAGAAUUAUGGUCUUCCCUUUGUAGUUGUUGAAAAGCAGCUAAUUUCCUAUUGACAUUGGAAAUCAAUGAGUGCACAAACUGAUUUCUUUACGAAUCUGCAUCUGUCGUUUAUCUCCAUGGCAGAGAAAAUAACACAAUUAUGGUUAUUUGUUUUGAAUAAAUUUUCAAGCCAGCAAAUACUUUAUUUACCAUAUCUAGAUCUUGAAGCACUCUUCUUAAAAUUCAUUUUCCAACUUGUUAGUCAAAGUGCAAUUAAGACAUGUUUAAAUGUUGUGGCAGGCAAUCCAAGGGUAACUCCUGAAGUUACAAGGGAUGUAUGCUUAUUAGCUAGAAUGAUGGCUGCUAAUUUGUACUUCUCCCAGAUUGAGGAUCUCAUGUUCGAGGUAAGAAAUAGUCACCGCGGCAUUAACCUUUGAGCAGUGCCUGGAUUGAUCAAAACUUCGAAUUUUUAUAAAAUAUACUGUCUCUGGUAGCUUUCUAUGUGGCGCUGCAAUGAAGAACUCCGUGCACGUGCAGAUGAACUUCACAGCACUUCCAAAAGAGAUGCAAAGCAUUACAUUGGUAUGUUCUUUUUAUUUUUAGUUUGAACUGACAUACUUAUUCAAAUAUUUCCCCAUCACUGGUGAUAGCAUUUAUUUAUUUUCUUCAUUUACCUUUUGUAUUCUUUUUGGUUAUUCCAGUCAUCAUCUAACUAUGUCUGUGGUCUUUAAUCUUUAUAGUUUCAUUGAUAUUAUAAGUCUGCAUACUUGUACCCCUUUUCCAUUAUCUUUAAUACAUUCUUUUGAUCUAAUCUUGUGCUCCUUGAAUAAUUCUUUCCCUUAUUAUGAAGGUGCUAGUAAAUGGUAAUUAAUCUGGGAGUAGAUUGUAUUAUUUAAUUCUUCUUAAAAAUUCAAAUAUGACGGGUUUCUGUUUGUCUGAUAGUUCUUCUCAUGUUUGAUACCAGAGUUCUGGAAGCAAAUUCCGCCAAAUGAACCAUAUCGUGUUAUUCUUGCUGAUGUGAGGGACAAGCUGUAUCAUACACGUGAACGUGCUCGUCAAUUGCUAGCCAAUGGAAUCUCUGAUAUUCCAGAGGAGGCAACCUUCAUCAAUGUUGAUGAGGUCUGGCCCUGACAAGAACUUGUAUCUUCGCUAAUUCGCUCACAUUUUUAAUUUUCAGAAUGCAAGUUGUGAACAAAUUGACUGAAUAUUUUUGAAACAUUAGAUGUAUCAUAGAGACUCAUUAUUACUGUCAUUGCUUUAUUAUGCGCAAUUGCCUGUGGGCUUGAUCAACAAUCUCUGUGGAUUAGUUUAUUAUCACUCUAUGCCAACUCAUUCUACAGCACACAUUUCUAUAGAUGAUAAAAAUAAAAGCAAACAAAUCCCUUUUACCUUGUACAGUGUAUAGGUUAUUAUUACAAACAGGAUCCGAAAAACAUAGAUGAAAACAUAAAAUCGCAGAUUACAUCAUAAACCCUAAAUCACAACAUCAAGGCUUAGAUCUCUCAAUCGAAGGCUCAAACCACGCCCAUUUUACCAUCACAGAGGCACCGAGACUCAAACACAAACCCUCACAACCCAACACACCAAGGUCACUUCACUGGACUCAAGAAAUCAAACUGCCUACCUUCGGUCGAUUACUCACACAAAGGAGAAUCACACAAGAACACGAUUAUCACAAAGAUAAUCAACCAGAAAUCUCACAAAGAGAAGAAGGAAGGGUCACACAGACAGGGAACACGAAGGUUCCAGAAGGCAGAGAGAAAGAAAGAAAUCAGAAAUGACGAUCCCAAGAGCCAAACAAGGAGUAAGGGGGAUAUUUAUAGGUAAUAUCAUCAACCGUUGAUCAGCGGGUCAAUCCAACGGUCCAAGAGCGACUAAGGUGUGUGGGCUGGAUAUUGGGCUCGGUUAAGUGGGCCUUCUAGGUAUAUAAUUAAUGGACCAAGUAUUAAAUCCAUUUUGGGCCUUUUCAUCAUUGCCUAACAGUUGGACUNGUCGAUUACUCACACAAAGGAGAAUCACACAAGAACACGAUUAUCACAAAGAUAAUCAACCAGAAAUCUCACAAAGAGAAGAAGGAAGGGUCACACAGACAGGGAACACGAAGGUUCCAGAAGACAGAGAGAAAGAAAGAAAUCAGAAAUGACGAUCCCAAGAGCCAAACAAGGAGUAAGGGGGAUAUCUAUAGGUAAUAUCAUCAACCGUUGAUCAGCGGGUCAAUCCAACGGUCCAAGAGUGACUAAGGUGUGUGGGCUGGAUAUUGGGCUCGGUUAAGUGGGCCUUCUAGGUAUAUAAUUAAUGGACCAAGUAUUAAAUCCAUUUUGGGCCUUUUCAUCAUUGCCUAACAGUUGGACUGGAUCAAAUGGCAUCACAGCCCAACAGUUAUUUUAAGUGGCAAGUAAUUAAUUAAUUGGUUCGAUCCAUCUCACUUCUAGGUUUGUUUUGAACUACUCACAAAUGGAGAAUUUAAGUAUGUUAAAUGAAUUUAUGCUUUUUGAGAGUGAAAGUUUCUGAUAGAAGAGGGUAAAUAACCAACAUCCUAAUGGAAUACUGUUGAAAUGUCUUCUGAGAGGAACUAGUGCUGAUGAAUGUAGUGAUGGAUGCAGUGCCAUAUUGACAAUAGAACGUAAAUAAUUGAAGAUACUCGUACACAAGAAACCAAUUAGAGAAGAGAAAUUAAAUUCUGAAGAAUUUAAUGAUGGAUUUGUCAUAUAAAUAGUAUACCUUUAUAACAAACAUUGAAUAUGCAUUUAGCUUGCAUUUUAUUUCUUUAGUUUAUUUGUGAUCCAUGAACACCAAAAAUUGUAAAGUUGCAAGAAAAUAGAACUGUUGUGUUGUGUAAUGUUUAUGUAAUUCUGCAUACUGAUGAUUCAUUUUCUUCAUCUUCAGUUUCUUGAGCCUCUUAAGCUGUGUUAUAGAUCACUCAGUGAUUGCGGUGAUCGGCCAAUUGCUGAUGGAAGCCUUCUUGAUUUCUUACGACAAGUUUCAACGUUUGGGCUUGCACUCGUGAGACUUGAUAUAAGGCAAGAGUCAGAUAGGCACACUGAUGUUCUAGAUGCUAUUACAAGGCACCUGGAGAUCGGGUCGUACAAAGAAUGGUCAGAAGAACGCAGACAGGAGGGGCUUUUAUCUGAACUUAGUGGCAAACGCCCUCUUUUUGGGCCCGAUCUUCCCAAAACCGAAGAAAUUGCUGAUGUCUUAGAAACCUUUCAUGUCAUUGCUGAACUCCCGUCGGAUAACUUUGGGGCCUACAUAAUUUCCAUGGCAACUGCCCCAUCUGAUGUCCUUGCAGUAGAGCUUUUACAACGCGAGUGCCAUGUCAAAAAUCCUCUAAGGGUGGUCCCAUUGUUUGAAAAGCUUGAUGAUCUUGAGGCUGCACCUGCUGCUGUGGCUCGGCUUUUCUCAAUAGAUUGGUAUCGUAAUAGGAUUAAUGGGAAACAAGAAGUCAUGAUUGGGUAUUCGGAUUCAGGAAAGGAUGCUGGACGGCUUUCUGCAGCAUGGCAGUUUUAUAAGGCCCAGGAGGAGCUUAUAAAGGUCGCAAAACAAUAUGGCAUAAAGCUCACAAUGUUUCAUGGCCGAGGUGGGACGGUUGGAAGAGGAGGCGGCCCAACCCAUCUUGCUAUAUUAUCUCAGCCACCGGACACCAUUCAUGGCUCACUUCGUGUCACUGUUCAAGGUGAAGUUAUUGAACAAUCAUUUGGCGAGGAGCACUUAUGUUUCAGAACGCUCCAACGUUUUACUGCAGCUACACUUGAGCAUGGAAUGCGCCCCCCUGUUGUACCGAAGCCAGAAUGGCGUGCUCUCAUGGAUGAGAUGGCUGUGUUUGCCACAAAAGAGUAUCGUUCUGUGGUUUUCCAGGAACCUAGAUUUGUUGAGUACUUCCGCCUCGUAAGUAUUUAUAUACUAUAGUAUUUUUUUGGUCAGAAUCUGCAAGAAAAUCACAUAUAAACACAGUAAACCUAAUAGGUUUAGAUUGAAGAAUGGUAACUUCUACAUGUGGAAAUAUAAGUUGGCAUCAAAGUUGGCAGUUUGACUAAAGAAGACUGAUAAUUGUUGGCUUACCCAUAUGGUGAAUAGGGCUUUUGUAACAUUUUCUUGUCUAGCUCUCUUUCUGAGAAUUGCAGGCAACACCUGAGUUAGAGUAUGGUCGGAUGAACAUCGGAAGCCGCCCAUCAAAAAGAAAGCCUGGCGGUGGAAUAGAAUCACUUCGAGCCAUUCCAUGGAUAUUUGCGUGGACGCAGACAAGAUUUCAUCUUCCUGUCUGGCUUGGCUUUGGAGCUGCAAUCAAGCAUGCCAUUGGGAAGGAUAUUAGAACUCUUCAAACUCUCAAGGAUAUGUACAAUGGAUGGCCUUUCUUCGGAGUGACAAUUGACUUGAUUGAAAUGGUUUUGGCCAAAGGAGACCCAGAAAUUGCUGCUUUGUACGACAAAUUUUUAGUGUCAGAAGAUUUGUGGCCAUUUGGAAAGCAACUGGGAAACAAUUAUGAAGAAACUAAGAAUCUGAUCCUUCAGGUAAGGGCCUUCUUUCCAUUUUAAUACCUUUAUUCACUAAAACAUAACUGUUCUACAACCUUAAUGUGGAUGCUAUUGUUGUUUCCCAUCACGCUUUACGCUAUCGUGUGAAAACUGUGUCCUGCUAAAUGAAAGAUGAAAUGGAAAGACUUUCUCAAUGUCGCUUUUCUUUGUGAAUAUAUGGUAAUUACUUUUCGAGUAUGUAAAAAAUUGACGGUUAGUUGAUUUUUGUCAACUUCCAAGAAAUAGAAGGUGAAAAAAGAAUGUUGAGCUGAGAAUGCGUGGUGGAUUUUAAUUUAUUUGUUUUGCAUGCUCAUCGUUCUUUUUAUUUUGGUUAACGAUAAAGAAGUUCAGUUGCUACUAGUUCAUGAUUAGUUCAACUUCCAUUCAAUGGAAGUAAUGCAAAAUAUCCUGAAAUGGGAAGCUGUUAUGGCCUCUCUUCUUAGGUUGCCGGACACAAGGAACUUCUCGAAGGAAAUCCCUACUCGAGGCAGAGAUUCCGACUUCGGGAUCCGUACAUCACCGUCCUUAACGUCUGCCAAGUCUACACGUUGAAGCAGAUACGUGAUCCAACUUACCGUGUAAAGGUGAGGCCACAUCUCUCAAAAGAGAUAAUGGAAAUGGAUAUGAGAAAACCGGCUGCUGAACUGGUGAAGCUCAACCCUAAAAGUGAGUAUGCUCCCGGGUUGGAAGUCACGCUUAUCUUGACCAUGAAGGGUAUUGCAGCUGGAAUGCAGAACACGGGCUAAGGUCGGGUUAUCUUGCCCGUGCUAGAUAUAUGGUGUCAGUUAAAUUACAAGGAAAUGAAAACGUGGCACUCGUUUGUUGGAUGCGAUAAUGUUGCCUGUAAGUACUUAACCAAGUAGCUUGCCCCAAAUAAAAUCUUAAAGCUUUUGUAUUUUGGUCAUUUGGUGCCUACCUUUAUAUGACAAUGCUCUGUGAGGAAACAUCAAAGGUUUAAGAAUACAGAGAUUAAGAAUUUGCUAUUUUAUUUUGAAAUGAUCUCUUCCUUUUUGUUGAAUUUUGACUUUUUCCAUUAGUGUUGAGC